rnacentral:rRNA from 1 species
UACGAAGGGUGCAAGCGUUACUCGGAAUUACUGGGCGUAAAGCGUGCGUAGGUGGUUUCGUUAAGUCUGAUGUGAAAGCCCUGGGCUCAACCUGGGAAUGGCAUUGGAAACUGGCGACCUAGAGUGCGGUAGAGGGUAGUGGAAUUCCCGGUGUAGCAGUGAAAUGCGUAGAGAUCGGGAGGAACAUCCGUGGCGAAGGCGACUACCUGGACCAGCACUGACACUGAGGCACGAAAGCGUGGGGAGCAAACAGG